rnacentral:rRNA from 1 species
ACGGAAGGCAGCAGUGAGGAAUAUUGGUCAAUGGGCGAGAGCCUGAACCAGCCAAGUCGCGUGAAGGAUGAAGGUUCUAUGGAUUGUAAACUUCUUUUGUUCGAGGGUAAAGUGAGGGAUGCGUCCCUUAUUGCAAGUAUCGAACGAAUAAGCAUCGGCUAACUCCGUGCCAGCAGCCGCGGUAAUACGGAGGAUGCGAGCGUUAUCCGGAUUUAUUGGGUUUAAAGGGUGCGUAGGCGGGAUGUUAAGUCAGCGGUGAAAGCGGGUAGCUCAACUAUACCAAGCCGUUGAAACUGGCGUUCUUGAGUGUAAACGAGGUAGGCGGAAUGUGACGUGUAGCGGUGAAAUGCUUAGAUAUGUCACAGAACCCCGAUUGCGAAGGCAGCUUACCAGCAUACAACUGACGCUGAGGCACGAAAGUGCGGGGAUCAAACAGGAUUAGAUACCCUGGUA